AUGCAUGCCACAUCAUCGUAGAUACCAUUGUGAGUCUGGGUAACAAGACUCCAAUCUCCUAGCUUACGAGAUCUAAUGACUAAUUGAUUUCAUCUCAGAGUCCAUAGACUCUGACUCGCCGACUCAAUGUGGUUCACCGUUCACUCCGCCUCUCUCUUUUCCGGCGACAUUCUCUCCCAAACCUCUCUCCGUCCGUGAAAGAUCAGCGUCCGAAUCAAGCAUUUUCUUCCUCAAAUGAGCAUCGUCGGAUCUUGUAUCUCACUCGCAGCGAUUCGUGCAUAGCUUGACCUCCAUGGCGUCGAUUUCUAGUGGUAUGAUGGAUUCUUCUUGUCGAUGCUCGCAACUAGUGUGCAUCCUUUAUUAGGGUUUCGAUUUCAAUAUCUGGUCAAAUUUUAUCUACUCUUAGUGGUCAUUCGAAGAAGGUUACCAGCGUUAAAUUUGGAGGUCGCUAUAAUCUGGUCAUAACCAGGUUGGCCGACAAGACAGUUCAUAUGGCAAGGCUCUGAUGAUGGGAACGACAACUGUAACCACACUUUGAAAGAUCAUGCAACUGAGUAUGGUAGAGAAGUAUGUGGGGACUUGUAUCCAACCCGGACCGAGCACAAGCUCUUUUAAUUGGAUGGCUUCAGAACUACAUUUCUUGUUUGCAGUCAGGGAAGUUUGUGGAUGCAUGCAUUCUUCCAUGGAGUCAUAUGACUAUGAGAUGAUGGUCAGUGGAGGUUUUAAGGCUUUAUGAUGUACGACUUCUUUAUGGGAAAUGGUUGGCAUGUGGCAUCAUAUCAAGUUAUCAUCAGCCCCUUCAAGUACUAAUGUAAUCAAUCAGAAGACAAGUCUAAUCUAGCUAGCAUGUUCUAUAUCUGAAAACCAGUUUAAUUAUACUAUGAUUUUGUAAUAUGAAGUUACUUAAUUGAUAUAAUUUACUACAUGAAUGCUUUUGUUUACUAUGCUUGAAUGAAAGGGUUUAAUUGAA